AUUGAACGCUGGCGGCAUGCUUUACACAUGCAAGUCGAACGGUAACAGGGAGCUUGCUCCGCUGACGAGUGGCGAACGGGUGAGUAAUGCAUCGGAACGUACCCAGUCGUGGGGGAUAACGUAGCGAAAGUUACGCUAAUACCGCAUACGUCCUGAGGGAGAAAGCGGGGGACCGUAAGGCCUCGCGCGAUUGGAGCGGCCGAUGUCGGAUUAGCUAGUUGGUGGGGUAAAGGCCUACCAAGGCGACGAUCCGUAGCGGGUCUGAGAGGAUGAUCCGCCACACUGGGACUGAGACACGGCCCAGACUCCUACGGGAGGCAACAGUGGGGAAUUUUGGACAAUGGGGGCAACCCUGAUCCAGCCAUGCCGCGUGAGUGAAGAAGGCCUUCGGGUUGUAAAGCUCUUUCAGACGGAAAGAAAACGCAUCGGUGAAUACCCGGUGUGGAUGACGGUACCGUAAGAAGAAGCACCGGCUAACUACGUG
rnacentral:rRNA from 1 species